UUGAUUUAAAGUCUGGUCUGCUCACUGAAUUUUUAAGAGCCGCAGUAUUUUGACUGUGCGAAGGUAGCAUAAUAAUUAGUUUCUUGAUUGGGAGCUGGAAUGAAUGGCUAGACGAGAAAAUUACUGUCUCUUUUUGAUUGUGAUGAAUUUUAUUUUUAAGUUAAAAAGCUUAAAUUUUUUUAAAAGACGAGAAGACCCUAUAGAGUUUGAUUUUUGCGGUUUUCAUUAAUUUUAGGUAUUUGUUUUUAUGUGAGUUGUGAAAAUUUAAUUGGGGUGAUUGAAAAAUUGAUAAAACUUUUUUUUUAUGGGGACAAUUUUAAUUGGGCAUUUGAUCCAUUUUUUGUGAUUAUAAGAUUAAAUUACCUUAGGGAUAACAGCGUAAUCUUUCUAGAGAGUCCUUAUCGAAAGAGAGGGUUGCG
rnacentral:rRNA from 1 species